rnacentral:rRNA from 1 species
UACAGAGGGUGCAAGCGUUAAUCGGAAUUACUGGGCGUAAAGCGUGCGUAGACGGUCAUGUAAGUCGGGUGUGAAAGCCCCGGGCUCAACCUGGGAAUUGCAUUCGAGACUGCAUGGCUAGGGUGCGGAAGAGGGAAGCGGAAUUUCCGGUGUGAGCGGUGAAAUGCGUAGAUAUCUGGAGGAACACCGGUGGCGAAGGCGGCAUCCUGGACCGGCAUUGACGCUG